rnacentral:lncRNA from 1 species
CUCAAAUGCUGCGUGAUGAUAAAAAUGCACUUAUUGGUUACCUCAACUGGUAACCAGGCUCUACCACUAGACUUGGCGUGGUUGGGGGUGUUCUAGAAACUCACCACCUGGGUGAGAGAAAGCAGCAGCGAUGAGAAGGCUGAACUUCUAACCCAGAUGCGCCUCAGUGCGGAAUGCAGCCGGGAAAUCGCAAGGGACCCACAGGAGCGGAUUAUGAAGGACACAGCCCUCCACCAGCACAGGGGUCCGCCGUCCUUCUCCCAGGGUCCUGUGUCCCCUGCUCCACAGACCCAGCCCUGCCAAGUGGCAAACGGCGGCCCUGAGUUCUGCAGAGAGCUGCGUGCUCUGCCCUGGCGAUCGGAAGGUGGAAGGAACACAGGAGAACAGCGCAGGGAGGAUCCCGACAGGAAACAGGAGGGCUCCAGAGCACCUUCUCCGCGGGCCUCCGAGCAACACGUUACAGGGGAGAGCGCCCCUCACCCUGUUACAAGAUGCUCCAAAAACAAACCGCUGAAGACGGGGGCCCAUAAAACACAAACCGUGUGUGGCGUUAAAGAUACUAAGAAAAGCCAGGUUUUUAUGCUAAAACAGAUGUACGAAGUGAAUUCCGUUCCCCCUCGUGUGAUGGUACAGUUUCUUCAGUGUUCAGGGUGCCAAACACACAAGGAUCAGAAACAUGUUUCAAACAGUGUGAAGAAGGGAAAAAAAAGCCCCCUCCUUAUCCCUCCAAAAAGGGGGAAAAAAAAAAAAGCCACCGCACACCAGAAAUAGCCUGAGCCUGCUUCUAAGUGCCCGAGGAUCUGUGCAUUAGGAGAGGUUCCCCUGUGAUGUGUGUUAUAGCGAGCUCAAGCAUGACUAUAUAUGGUAUGUUUACGGAGGGAUUAGAUACAAACACCACGCAGAACUUAUAUCAGACCAGAACUGGCCUGGCAAGAGCUUGGCUUCUCUGCAUUUAUGGCCACAAGCGAACUGUCCCCUAAGUCCAAGCAAACUUCAGAGCUUCCAGAUGCAAUGUCUCAUGACUUCCUGGCACUCAGAGCACAGGGACCCUCCCUCGCUGCCCU